CGGGCUUGGUUAGGUUUUGGUGGGA
rnacentral:piRNA from 1 species